UGCUAGCACGGAUGUCAAAUUGCAAUUCAGUCUUUUCAGUGACUGUUGUUGUGCCGAAGAUGUGCUGAUAUCAAACCCCAUUUGGCGAGUAGUCCUGGCAACGGGGCACUUUC
rnacentral:snoRNA from 1 species